rnacentral:sRNA from 1 species
GUUGAUUAAAAAUUAAAUGAAUUUAUUCAGCGUGCAAAAGUGAAGCCCAAUAAUGAUUCCGUGAUGCAGAUCUACAUUCAUCUAGCAGAGCGAAGCGUAGAGGGACAC